UGCUUGAAAUUGUCGGGAG
rnacentral:snRNA from 1 species